CCACUUCUGGAAUGGUGCCUUGCACCCAAGGGGCAAAGAGACCCUACUAUCUGCUCUGCCAACAUGGUCUGCACAAACCCUUAGGAAACCUUCAGGCCCCUGCUGCCUUAAUGUAAUUUACACAGUGCUGCAAAAGCUUUCUGCACCUUUCAGAAGUUUUCUACAGCACUGUGCAACUUUGUUUAGGUAAGAAAAUGGAGCUGUUUGUCUGGUGGGACAAAACGACUGAUGCAUCUGUGUUGCUACCACAUUGCCUGUCCUUCGUUUGCAACAGGAAAUCUGGAAAUCUUCAAAAGGUAAGAGCUCAUACUGUGCCCAGAUCAGUUCUGAGAAGAGGAUAAAUUGCUGAGCUACUGGAAAAAUCAGUACUUAAUUAUGUGGAAAUCAUACUUGGGUGCAAGAUGCUUCCUGCUGUGAUUGUUUACCAUCAUCCGAUGAGAAUCCAGAGCAGCGGUACACAGGAUAUGACAAUAUGAACUCAGAGUCCAACUAUAUUCAGACACUGACUUCUGGAGAUUGUCUGGACUAAUCUCUGCAGUUUUUCUCAUCUCCCUGCCCCAUUCCACAUUUGCAAAUCUGUUGCACAGAAUCCUCAAAACUUUCAGAGCCAGCCUGGGGGAUAUGCAAGAGCAACACAGGAGAAUGUGAGCUCUAUUCCAUUGCCAGAUGCUGUUUCUUUCAUUAAAACAUUUGAUAGCUAGAA